GGAAUGAGGUGAAGAGGAGAGCCAUUCUCUUGUGGCUGCCGUGUGUUGAAGAGAGGAAGAGAGAGAGAGUGUGGCGAGCUAGAGAGAGAAAGGGGAAGGGGCUGCCAUUUUCUAGAGAGAAGGAGGAAAGAAAGAAAGAAUGAGAGAAGGAGAGGAAGAAGAAGAGGGGAUUCGAAAUCCCUAGGUGUAGGUGCUCAAGAGGAGAAUCAACCUUGUGGUUUUGAUUUCUAUCAAGGAGGUAGCAAAUAAGUUUCUCUAUGGCACACGUGGUGAUGUGGGGAGUUCUAUCAUCGUGGUGUGUAUGGAGUGGGGGCAUCCUAUGGACGGAAAACGAUCAAUUAAAAACACCAUUUUUUUAAUAUUGUUAUGUUUUAUAAGACUUUUUACACUUAUCAGUGGGACUUGAAUUAUUGGUUGUUUUAGAACUUUGCAUAAAACUGAUAUUUUCUUUUAAAA